rnacentral:lncRNA from 1 species
GCAGAGAACAUCCCUGGGCUAAUCAGCCAUAGCCAAAAGAUGCUGAAGAGCAUUUUCUUCGGUUCAUAAAGAAGGUCAAAUCCCAUUUGGUCGAUAACUGCACCACAGCUGGAAGGAAGUACCGAGGGGUGAGAGCAGGCUAACAUGAAAAACAAGUAAAAGACAAAGAGUGGGGUCAGCGAGCAGCUUGGAUCAAUGAAGCCCAAACUCUGGGAAAAUGUAUCUGUGGGUGAACCCCAGGCUUCCAGGAAUCAAUCAACAGCCCUUGAAAAAUUGUGUCUUCCAUAAAAAUGUCACCUGAGCCUUCAGUGUCACAAUGAAGGUGCCAAUAGCCAGGCACAAAAUAAAUG